rnacentral:rRNA from 1 species
UACGUAGGCAGCAAGCGUUGUUCGGAAUUACUGGGCGUAAAGAGUACGUAGGUGGUUUGCCAAGUCCGAUGUGAAAUCUCCUGGCUUAACUGGGAGGGUGCGUUAGAUACUGGCAGGCUUGAGUGUGGGAGAGGAGAGCGGAAUUCCUGGUGUAGCGGUGAAAUGCGUAGAUAUCAGGAGGAACGCCUGUGGUGUAGACGGCUCUCUGGACCAUUACUGACACUGAGGUACGAAAGCGUGGGUAGCAAACAGGAUUAGAUACCCUGGUAGUCCACGCCCUAAACGAUGCAUACUUGGUGUGGGCAGUUCAGUCUGUCCGUGCCGGAGCUAACGCGUUAAGUAUGCCGCCUGGGGAGUACGGUCGCAAGGCUGAA